rnacentral:rRNA from 1 species
UGAACGCUAGCGACAGGCUUAACACAUGCAAGUACGAGGGGUAACAGGGUAGCAAUACCGCUGACGACCGGCGCACGGGUGAGUAACGCGUAUGCAACCUGCCUAUAACUGGGGAAUAGCUCCCUGAAAGGGGGAAUUAACACCGCAUAAUACUAUUGAUUCGCAUGGAUUAGUAGUUAAAUGUAGCGAUACAGGUUAUAGAUGGGCAUGCGUGACACUAGCUAGUUGGUGAGGUAACGGCUCACCAAGGCUACGAUGUCUAGGGGUUCUGAGAGGAAGGUCCCCCACACUGGUACUGAGACACGGACCAGACUCCUACGGGAGGCAGCAGUGAGGAAUAUUGGUCAAUGGGCGCAAGCCUGAACCAGCCAUGUCGCGUGCAGGAAGACUGCCCUAUGGGUUGUAAACUGCUUUUAUAGUAGAAGAAACACAUCUACGUGUAGAUGUCUGCCAGUAUACUAUGAAUAAGCAUCGGCUAACUCCGUGCCAGCAGCCGC